rnacentral:rRNA from 1 species
UACAGAGACUGCAAGCGUUAUUCGGAUUCACUGGGCGUAAAGGGUGCGCAGGCCGCCAUGUGUGUGAGGUGUGAAAUCCCGGAGCUUAACUCCGGAACUGCGCCUCAAACUACAUGGCUAGAGCAUUGGAGAGGGAAGUGGAAUUCACGGUGUAGCGGUGAAAUGCGUAGAUAUCAGGAGGAACACCGGUGGCGAAGGCGGCUAUCUGGACAGAGUCUGACGCUGAGGCGCGAAAGCUAGGGGAGCAAACAGG